CCACCCCCCAAUCCCCCAUAAAGAUUGCCAAACCUGAACCUCGGAGAGCACUCUGCUUCCCACAGGGCGAAGGGCACAGCUCUGCAGGGAAUUUUGCUACGGAUGUCGACUGUGAGUUGACCUUUGGAGCCUUGAAAAAUCCCUCCAAGAACGGGGGUCAACCUAUACACUGAAUACAAAAGUGAGCCACCUCUGUGGAGUCGAUGGUCGCCAUUUUGAAAUGUCAUCAUCCAACACAAGGAGAGGGCACGUCUUAACUCCUGCUCAUCUUCACAACACAGCCCGUAUCGUUCGCUUGAUCCCUUGCAUCCAGUUAUAAGAGGAAGGGCCUCACAGGUAACAAGGAGUCCACAAGUGGAACAGAAGAAGCCUGAAGAGAAUCCAGAGGAUCACACAUUUCCAGCUCCAAGACCUACUCAUCU